GACGAACGCUGGCGGCGUGCUUAACACAUGCAAGUCGAACGGAAAGGCCCUGCUUUUGUGGGGUGCUCGAGUGGCGAACGGGUGAGUAACACGUGAGUAACCUGCCCUUGACUUUGGGAUAACUUCAGGAAACUGGGGCUCAUACCGGAUAGGAGCUCCUGCUGCAUGGUGGGGGUUGGAAAGUUUCGGCGGUUGUGGAUGGAAUCGCGGCUUAUCAGCUUGUUUGUGGGGUAGUGGCUUACCAAGGCUUUGACGGGUAGCCGGCCUGAGAGGGUGACCGGCCACAUGGGGACUGAGAUACGGCCCAGAAUCCUACGGGAGGCAGCAGGGGGGAAUAUUGCACAAUGGGCGGAAGCCUGAUGCAGCAACGCCGCGAGCGGGAUGCCCUCCUUCGGGGGGUAAACCGCUUUCGCCUGUGACGAAGCGUGAGUGACGGUAAUGGGUAAAGAAGCACCGGCUAACUACGUG
rnacentral:rRNA from 1 species